rnacentral:rRNA from 1 species
AAUCAACGCUGGCGGCGUGCCUAACACAUGCAAGUCGAACGAGAAAGGGGACUUCGGUCCCUGAGUACAGUGGCGCACGGGUGAGUAACACGUGACUUAUCUACCCUCGAGUGGGGAAUAACUUCGGGAAACCGAGGCUAAUACCGCAUAAUACCCACGGGUCAAAGGAGCAAUUCGCUUGAGGAGGAGGUCGCGGCCGAUUAGUUAGUUGGCGGGGUAAUGGCCCCACCAGGACGGUGAUCGGUAUCCGGCCUGAGAGGGCGCACGGACACACUGGAACUGAAACACGGUCCAGACUCCUACGGGAGGCAGCAGUGGGGAAUUUUGCGCAAUGGGGGAAACCCUGACGCAGCAACGCCGCGUGGAGGAUGAAGUCUCUUGGGACGUAAACUCCUUUCGAUCGGGACGAUUAUGACGGUACCGGAAGAAGAAGCCCCGGCUAACUUCGUG